CAGCUUCCAGGAAGUUGAAAUGCAUCCUGAAAUUUACUUUGCCCAGAGGUCUGGGAAAACUGGAGAAAGUGGGAAAAGCUCCUUUCUUCAUAAAUGCAGUUGACCAGCAGAGCAGCAUUCAUUAGAAUCUGAAUGAGAAGAGAGAAGGGGAUAUAUGGCAAUUUAUGGUAUGUAACCAAGAGCAACAUGUUUUAUGUUUAAGUAUAUCGUUGUUAGCAUUCUAGAGGACUAUGAAAGAGGCACAUAGGUCCCCUUGUAUACUGAG
rnacentral:lncRNA from 1 species